GCCCUCAACCAAAUAAGAAACUAGGAGAACCAUGCUUAUCUGGAUACUGAAGAGUGAUUUGUCAUUAUUCAAAAGCCACCCAAGGAAAAAGGCCAUAUAAAUGAACCACAGCUAGUGGUCACUUGCUGUUCUUACCACCCUGAGAUAAACCUGGCUCACCAGCACAGAGCUGUGGGAGAGAAAUGGAACAGCUCUUCAGGUACCACAAACUGCUCCAACAGCUGCACUGCAUCUGCUUUGCCAGAAGAAAACAGGGGAGGAAACCUCUUCUGGCAGCCUUGGCUACUACCUGCAUGCAAAACUGAUUCUGUCUGGGAGAGACAGUUGGAAAACUGAGAGCUGUGGGAAGAUCUGUUUCAUGCCUGGAGGUCGACACCACUAGGUUCCCAAGAAAAAAACACGUCUCUUAACUGCUUGCUUCCUUCCAGGAACCAGCAAAUUUCUUUGUUGCAAAUGGCCUGCUUGCUGCUACACUUCUUAAG
rnacentral:lncRNA from 1 species